rnacentral:rRNA from 1 species
AUGUGGAUGUCGCGGCCGAGAUGGUUCGGGCAUUAUUCGUCGGCCUCGGCUUACAAGGCGCAAUUCAUUCGAUCUACUGGCACCACCUUCCGCUGCUACAUCUGGGGCGUCUGGGCUCCACCGAAGUUGAAUUUUUUUGCAUGGCUUGCAACCCCUAAUAGGAUUUGGACGGCCGAUAGGCUGGCUAAGAGGGGUUGUCAACAGGAUUUGGAACCUCAACAAAGAUUGGCAUGGCCUCCAUGUGAUUGA